GGCCCGUUCGUCUAGGGGUUAGGACGCUGGCUUCUCACGCCGGUAACAGGGGUUCGAUUCCCCUACGGGCUACCA
rnacentral:tRNA from 1 species